rnacentral:rRNA from 1 species
CAUGGCUCACGAUGAACGCUAGCGGCAGGCUUAACACAUGCAAGUCGAGGGGCAGCGGGGAGGAAGCUUGCUUUCUCCGCCGGCGACCGGCGCACGGGUGAGUAACACGUAUGCAACCUGCCCCUGUCAGGGGGACAACCCGCCGAAAGGCGGGCUAAACCCGCGUACAUGCCACCGGGGCAUCCCGGAGGCAGGAAAGGCUUCGGCCGGACAGGGAUGGGCAUGCGGCGCAUUAGGCAGUAGGCGGGGUAACGGCCCACCUAACCGACGAUGCGUAGGGGUUCUGAGAGGAAGGUCCCCCACACUGGUACUGAGACACGGACCAGACUCCUACGGGAGGCAGCAGUGAGGAAUAUUGGUCAAUGGUCGGGAGACUGAACCAGCCAAGCCGCGUGAGGGAUGAAGGUACAGAGUAUCGUAAACCUCUUUUGUCAGGGAACAAAGGCGGGGACGUGUCCCCGGAUGAGUGUACCUGAAGAAAAAGCAUCGGCUAACUCCGUGCCAGCAGCCGCGGUAAUACGGAGGAUGCGAGCGUUAUCCGGAUUUAUUGGGUUUAAAGGGUGCGCAGGCGGUCUGUUAAGUCAGCGGUCAAAGCCCGGGGCUCAACCCCGGCCCGCCGUUGAAACUGGCAGUCUCGAGUUGGAGAGAAGUAUGCGGAAUGCGCGGUGUAGCGGUGAAAUGCAUAGAUAUCGCGCAGAACUCCGAUUGCGAAGGCAGCAUGCCGGCUCCACACUGACGCUGAGGCACGAAAGCGUGGGUAUCGAACAGGAUUAGAUACCCUGGUAGUCCACGCAGUAAACGAUGAAUGCUGGCUGUCCGGGGGGGAUUGACCCCUGGGUGGCGAAGCGAAAGCGAUAAGCAUUCCACCUGGGGAGUACGCCGGCAACGGUGAAACUCAGAGGAAUUGACGGGGGCCCGCACAAGCGGAGGAACAUGUGGUUUAAUUCGAUGAUACGCGAGGAACCUUACCCGGGCUCAAACGGGGAGUGACUCAGGCAGAGACGCCUGUUUCCCACGGGACACUCCCCGAGGUGCUGCAUGGUUGUCGUCAGCUCGUGCCGUGAGGUGUCGGCUUAAGUGCCAUAACGAGCGCAACCCCCGCGUGCAGUUGCUAACAGAUAACGCUGAGGACUCUGCACGGACUGCCGGCGCAAGCCGCGAGGAAGGCGGGGAUGACGUCAAAUCAGCACGGCCCUUACGUCCGGGGCGACACACGUGUUACAAUGGGUGGUACAGCGGGAAGCCAGGCGGCGACGCCGAGCGGAACCCGAAAUCCACUCUCAGUUCGGAUCGGAGUCUGCAACCCGACUCCGUGAAGCUGGAUUCGCUAGUAAUCGCGCAUCAGCCAUGGCGCGGUGAAUACGUUCCCGGGCCUUGUACACACCGCCCGUCAAGCCAUGGGAGCCGAGGGCGCUUGAAGUGCGUCGCCGCGAGGCGCGCCCUAGAGCGAAAUCGGUGACUGGGGCUAAGUCGUAACAAGGUAACCGU